ACAAACUUUUGUCUCCUCUACAGACUGUGAAAUCUGAGGAAGAGCAAAAGGUCUGUCGAGGGAUGGACGAUGAAAGCUAUGAGGAAAUGGACUUUGGAGGUCUUCCUGAACCAUUGUCUCUUCAAAUGGUGUCUCUGUUAUCUCCAUUGUCUCCGUAUCAACUUCUGGUUCCUCCACAGACUGCAAAAUCUGAGGAAGAGCAGAAGAUCUGACGGGGGACGGACGAUGGAAGCUACGAGGAAAUGGACUUUGGAGACUGCAAAAUCUGAGGAAGAGCAGAAGAUCUGACGGGGGACGGACGAUGGAAGCUAUGAAGAAAUGGACACUUAAGAUCGUGUGACCUUGGGGAGAGCAAAAGUCCUGUCAAGGCCAGGAGGAAACGGGCCAUCAGCAGAUGGACUCUGGAGGUCUUUUGGAGCUGUGUCUAAUGUUACCACUGGUCUAUCUAAAGGCAACACUUCGACAUUUGUCUCCCGUACAAGCUC